GAUGAAGAACGUAGCGAAAUGCGAUAAGUAGUGUGAAUUGCAGAAUUCAGUGAAUCAUCGAAUCUUUGAACGCACAUUGCGCCCCUUGGUAUUCCAUGGGGCAUGCCUGUUCGAUCGUCAUUUGUACCUUCAAGCUUUGCUUGGUGUUGGGUGUUUGUCUCGCCUUUGCGUGUAGACUCGCCUUAAAAUAAUUGGCAGCCGGCGUAUUGAUUUCGGAGCGCAGUACAUCUCGCGCUUUGCACUCAUAACGACAGCGUCCAAAAGUACAUUUUACACUCUUGACCUCGGAUCAGGUAGGGAUACCCGCUGAACUUAAGCAUAUCAAUAAGCGGAGGA
rnacentral:misc_RNA from 1 species